UGGGAGGUGAGUUGGUACAAGAAGAAAGGAAGGAUAAGGAAAAAUUCGUCUACAUAUCUUCAGACACAAUGUCAUCGGUGAUCGGAGGAUGCUCAGAGGGAAGCGUUGAGUGGGUUUCGGAGUCGGAAGAGGCAGUGUUCUCAUCGGAAAAAUGGGUUGCUGAAACUUUGGGGACUGUGAAGGAAGGAGCGGCGGUGACCCAUGAUGAAUCUAAUGGAAUUUGUGCUGGAGUUAUUUCUUCUCCUCAAAUUGUGUCCCAAUCAUUACGGGGAGUUAUUAGGGGUGCUGAUAAAA
rnacentral:lncRNA from 1 species